rnacentral:rRNA from 1 species
AUUGAACGCUGGCGGCAUGCCUUACACAUGCAAGUCGAACGGUAACGGGCCUUCGGGUGCCGACGAGUGGCGAACGGGUGAGUAAUACAUCGGAACGUGCCCGAUCGUGGGGGAUAACGAGGCGAAAGCUUUGCUAAUACCGCAUACGAUCUACGGCUGAAAGCAGGGGACCGCAAGGCCUUGCGCGGACGGAGCGGCCGAUGGCAGAUUAGGUAGUUGGUGGGAUAAAAGCCUACCAAGCCGACGAUCUGUAGCUGGUCUGAGAGGAUGAUCAGCCACACUGGGACUGAGACACGGCCCAGACUCCUACGGGAGGCAGCAGUGGGGAAUUUUGGACAAUGGGCGCAAGCCUGAUCCAGCCAUGCCGCGUGCAGGAUGAAGGCCUUCGGGUUGUAAACUGCUUUUGUACGGAACGAAAAGCCUUCUUUUAAUACAGGAGGGUCAUGACGGUACCGUAAGAAUAAGCACCGGCUAACUACGUG